rnacentral:sRNA from 1 species
UUCGAAUCCUGCACGACCCACCAAUAUACAAGGUGGUAACUGGUAGAGAAUGUGAAGGAUAAUGUUGCUUUAGCAACGGCCCGAAGGGCGAGGCGAAGCCGAGUCAUCCUGCACGACCCACCA